GUGUCAGCAGCCGCGGUAAGACGUAGGGCGCGAGCGUUGUCCGGAUUUAUUGGGCGUAAAGAGCUCGUAGGCGGCUUGUCGCGUCGGCUGUGAAAACCCGUGGCUCAACCAUGUGGUCUGCAGUCGAUACGGGCAGGCUAGAAUUCGGUAGGGGAGACUGGAAUUCCUGGUGUAGCGGUGAAAUGCGCAGAUAUCAGGAGGAACACCGGUGGCGAAGGCGGGUCUCUGGGCCGAUAUUGACGCUGAGGAGCGAAAGCGUGGGGAGCGAACAGGAUUAGAUACCCUGGUAGUCCACGCUGUAAACGUUGGGCGCUAGGUGUGGGGGGCCUCUCCGGUUCUCUGUGCCGCAGCUAACGCAUUAAGCGCCCCGCCUGGGGAGUACGGCCGCAAGGCUAAA
rnacentral:rRNA from 1 species